rnacentral:rRNA from 1 species
AUUGAACGCUGGCGGCAUGCCUUACACAUGCAAGUCGAACGGUAACGCGGGGCAACCUGGCGACGAGUGGCGAACGGGUGAGUAAUGCAUCGGAACGUGCCCGGUAGUGGGGGAUAACUGCUCGAAAGAGCAGCUAAUACCGCAUACGACCUGAGGGUGAAAGGGGGGGAUCGCAAGACCUCUCGCUAUCGGAGCGGCCGAUGUCGGAUUAGCUAGUUGGUGGGGUAAAGGCCUACCAAGGCAACGAUCCGUAGCUGGUCUGAGAGGACGACCAGCCACACUGGGACUGAGACACGGCCCAGACUCCUACGGGAGGCAGCAGUGGGGAAUUUUGGACAAUGGACGCAAGUCUGAUCCAGCCAUGCCGCGUGCGGGAAGAAGGCCUUCGGGUUGUAAACCGCUUUUGUCAGGGAAGAAAUCUUCUGGGCUAAUACCCUGGGAGGAUGACGGUACCUGAAGAAUAAGCACCGGCUAACUCCGUGCCAGCCGCCGCGGUAACAC